GUUUUAAUAAUUUAUAUAAAAUACUGGUCUUGUAAACCAGAAAUAAGACUGAAUCUUUUAAAACA
rnacentral:tRNA from 1 species